UGUGGUCCCGCCGGGCCUGGAACUGGGGCUGAAACAAAGCAAACGCCGUGCGUAGCCGGAGAGGCGCGGCGUCUGCAGCGGUUCGCUCUUCACACGCUCUGGGGAAGUCCGUGGGCAACCAGACUAUCCGGAACUUAGCAUGUCAUGGGAGACGGCCUUGAGCCAUUGUUGUAGGCUGAAAGAACCAAGGGUGUCAGAGCUACGACGUGCGAGUUUAAGUAGACGAAAGCUCCUCCUAACACGCGAAUGAAGUCCAGUUUUUGGGUUUGUUUUCCACAGAUGAAGGUGGGGAGGGAGCGUUAGUCUUUGUGCGGAGAACACACUGCCAAGAGCGGCGUUGGCAUCCACAGGUAUCUAGCACCUUCUCGGACUGAACUCUACGUGCUGGAACUUGCUGGCUUCGUUAUGUCUGGGAAAACGCUGGAAAGAGGGGAAUACAUUUUAACUGAGGUUCAGCACAAAUUUCGACUGCGUGGAGCGUCAUCAGAUCAGCAAGGCACUACACUCCAUGUCUGGAGUCGUCUGUUGCGUAUUUUACAGAUAGGCGGCCAGUGUUUUGCAUUAGGCUUGCUUAACUUCCUCCUCCAUUCUCUCUGCUCACCCCAACGUACGUACAAGUAAAUACAAUGUACUCAGUACUACAGCAAAUGUCUUUCCACCCUUUUGCAAACUUAAAAACGGUCUCGUUGACAUUUCAGAUAAAAGCUAAUGAUACCAUGCGUUCAACAACGGGACUCUGAUCUUGCUUCAUGAUGCCACACCUAAACCUGUCCAUAACCCUAUCAGUCCUGUGACUUCUACUUCAACUAAGGCUGCACAUUCACCAGUGGCAUCUCCCAGUGUCAAGCCUCAGCUGCUCUCCAUGCCCCCUUCAUAUCUUCAAGACCAGUAGCACCUGGGAAACUCUUGCACAUUACCAGGUUCAACUGCUAGGAUGAGAUGCAGCCUUGGCCAGCUCUGGACCCACAGGAGAAAACUUCCUGAACAAAACACCAACAGCACAGGCUCUAAUAAUAAAAAAUCAAUAAAUGGGACCUCAUGAAACUGAAAAGUUUCUGUAAAGCAAAGGACAGUCAUCAGAACAAAACAACAGCCUACAGACUGGAAAAGAAUCUUCACCAACCCUAUAUCUGACAGAGGGCUAAUAUCCAGAAUAUAAAAAGAACUCAAGAAGUUAAACAGCAACAAGUAAUACAAUUUAAAAAUGGGGUACAGAGCUAAACAGACAAUUCUCAAUAGAGGAAUAUCAAAUGGCAGAGAAACACUUAAAGAAAUGCUCAACAUCCUUACUCAACAGGAAAAUGCAAAUCAAAACGACCCUGAGAUUUCACCUUACACUCAUCAGAAUGGCUAAGAUCAAAAAACUCAAGUGACAACACAUGCUGGAGAAGAUGUGGAGAAAGAGGAACCCUACUUCAUUGCUUGUGGGAAUGUCAACUUGUACAACCACUUUGGAAAUCAAUCUGGUGCUUUCUCAGACAAUUAGGAAUAGUACUACCUCAAGAUCCAGCUAUACCGCUCUAGGCAUAUAUCGAAAAGAUGCUCAAGUAUACAAGGACAUCUGCUCAACCAUGUUCGUAGCAGCUUUAUUUGUAAUAGCUAGAAGCUGGAAACAACCCAGAUGUCUCUUAGUUGAGGAAUGGAUGCAGAAACUGUGGUACAUUUACACAACGGAACGCUACUGAGCAAUUAAAAACAAGGAAAUCAUGAAAUUUGCAGGCAAAUGGUGGGAACUAGAAAAGAUCAUCCUGAGUGAGGUGUCCCAGAAGCAGAAAGACACACAUGGUAAAUACUUAUAAGUGGAUAUUAGACAUAAUAUAGGAUAAACAUACUAAAAUCUGUACACCUGAAGAAGCUAAUCAAGGAAGAGGACCCUGGGUAAGAUGCUCAAUCUUCAUUCAGAAAGGUAGAUGGAAUAGACAAGACAGGAACAAGACAGGAGGCUACCACAGAGGGCCUCUGAAAGACUCUACCCAGCAGGGUAUUAAAGCAGAUGCUGAGACUCAUAGCCAAACUUUGGGCAGUGUGCAGGGAAUCUUAUGAAAGAAGGGGGAGACAGAAAGACCUGAAAGGGUCUGAAGCUCCACAAGAAAAACAACAGAACUGAAAAAUCUGGGCCUAGGGGUCUUUUCUGGGACUGAUACUCCAACUAAGGACUAUUCAUGGAGAUAACCUCCACAGAAGUAGCCCCAUGGCAGCUCAGUCUCCAAAUGAGCUCACUAAUAAGGGAAGCAGGGACUGUCUCUGAUAUGAGCUCAGUGGCUGGCUCUUUGAUCUGCUCCCCGAGUGGGGAGCAACCUGACCAGGCCACAGAGAAAGACUAUGAAAGACAGUCCUGAUGAGCCCUGAUAGGCUAGGGUCAGAUGGAAGGGGAGGAGGUCCUCCACUGUAAGUGGACUGGGGAAGGGGCAUGGGAGAUGAGGGAGGGAAGAAGGGCAGAAUUGGAAGGGAAGGAGGGAGGGGGCUACAGAUGGGAUACAAAGUGAAUAAAUUGUAAUAAAUAAAAAACUAACAAAUAAAUAAAUAAUAGGUAAAUGUUCUAGGAGAUAAAGAUAUCUAAAGAUAAAACUUGUUAAGUGAUCAAAAGACUAAGAAUCCACUUCUACACUUUCUACUGAAUCUUUCAGACAGGCAUCAAUGAACAGAAUGAAGUGCAAUUUUGACAUGACAGGCUGAAUUUAAUUUGAAAAUGAAAACGCAAUCUACUGUUUUACAAGCUUUGAAUGAAAAGGAAAGGAAACACUCCAGGAAUUAUUAUGGAGCACUGAUUCUCAAAGUGCGGAGAUGGGGAAGCUCAAAUAUAACAUAUAUGUGUAUAACUGUAUUUCUGCAUUUCCGAGGCUUGAAAUAAAGUGGCAUGUUAGGCUUGAAAAAUGUUAAGAGUGAGUACAUUUUCUUCAUUACCACAGACAGCAAAUAUGGUAUACUGACCUCAAGAAGUUCUCUCUCUUCCGUCCUACUGAAAUAGAACAAGACUAAAGAAAAAAGAAAAGGGCUAAGAAAAUUAACACGUCACCCUAGAUCAAUCUCAAAAUAUCAUAAGUAAAAUAGUUUCAAAAGAUUGCAUAUGGUAUGACACUAUAAUACUGCAGAAAACAAACUAAUUACUGGUUUCCAGGAAAAAGGGUACAAUGAAGAAAUGUUUCACAAGAGUUUAUUGGGCAUGGUAGACCUAUUUGUUAUCCUAUCUUGGUGUUAAAACUCACACCCCAAGUAUACAAAAGCAGGAAAAAAGUAGUGUUUACCAUAAAAUUUUUAAAAAUGAUUAAGCUCCAAAUGGAUGACAGGGAGAUAAGCAAUUUCAACAAAUGUGUAAAAAUAGCCAGAUGUAGUGUAAUUAAAGUCGACAGAGGAAGCUAUAAUCUCAAGAAGCUGUAGGAUGGAAUCACUAUGAGGCAUGCCUACUGAUCCACAUGCCCUCGGAAGAAUAGAUAUGGAGCAAAAGUUACAGCAAAAGAUAGACUCUGGGAUAAGCCUGAAAAUGGUGAGUUGAAAAAUGUAGAAAUCAAAAUGGUCAGUUCUAUAAGACAUUAUUCUUCUAUACCAAAUUGUAUACGGUCAAAGCCAUGGCUGAGGAGCUCACAAGCCCUAGCUGUGACCUACUACUACUGUUCUGCUAAAGGGACACAGAAUAUCCACAGAUUGCCAGAAAAGUGUAUCCACACAGUGGAUGGUGAUUAACAGAAACUCACAACUGAACAAUAUGGAGAACAAAUGUCAAUAGGAUGUGCAAGCAAAUAUAGGACAUCUACAUCACCCCUGACAAGACUUGGGGACAUCAUACAAGUCAGGCGGAAAUACUGGGAAAGCCAGAGACUAAAAAGAACAGGAACAAAAUGCACGAGUGUUAUGUGCAUGUACAGGUGUGUGCACAUGCACACACACACACACAAAGCACUAACACAGAGAUUGUUCACCAAAAAGCAGGCUGUUUAAAAACAACAGAAACAAAAGUAGUCUUAGAAAUGAAUUUUUCUAAGGAAGAUGGUACUGAAAGAUCAAAUUGAAUUCUGUAGAGGAGAAAUUACUGCACCACCACAGUGAAUACACAGAAGGCAACUACACAGCAAAAUUAGAGGGACAGCAUCUAAGACACAUUCACCAAAAGCAGGAGUGGAAAGAAAAUCGCUUUCAACCUGAAAUGCUAUGUAAGGUCAAACUAUUAGUAAAAUAUGGAGGUAAAAAUAAGAUUUAUAUGUCAUUUCUUUUUAAUUAAAAAAUGUUUAUUUCGUAUGUUUAUGUGUAAGUCUCUGGAGAUGAAAAGAAACUUGUAUGGUGGAUUACACUUUUUCAUCAUAAUGUAUUGAGAAUAAUUAUUUGAUUUUGAAAACUGUACAUACCAUAUAUGUGUGUGUGUGUUUAUAUAUAAUAUGUGUGCAAAUAAGGUCACCGUCAUUUCAUUUGGUUUUAGACAAAUUUAUUUUAAAAUUUCAAAUGACAUUAGGAAAAAUGUGCUUUUCACAUUUACUGACUGAUGGGUGCACAGGCUAAAGUGGGCUUUAAAAUACUUUAUUAAAUCAUUCAAUCUACAAUAGGCAUUUAUACAUCAAAACUUUGUAACAGCAGCACUUUUAUUUACCUCCUUCACACUUAAAACUACUAUGUUUAUAAAGGACAAAACUUUGCAACUUAAAGAGCAUGUAAUAACCCUCAGGCAAUGUUUGCAUAAAGACAGGCUGAACAGUGUUUCCAAGCCCUACCUCUCCCUCCUUUACAUUAGGGUUUUCGCUUACUGCCUGCUUGGCUUCCCACUAUCACCAUCUAUUCCCCUGGAUAGAAUACCAGCCUUUGUCAGUCCCCCUAGAGCUAUAAGUCUCACCACUUCCUGGUAAGAACAGAUACUCCUCAGUAAAAAAUAAGUCUCGUGAUCAUGUUGUCAGUGAAUAAUAUAAAUAUUUUAAUUUAAUAGUUGAUGGCAUUUUACCAAAUGCACACGUGGUCAAGUUAAAGCCUGGACUUAAAACUGGGUUAAAACUUAAGCCUGGGUUAAAACUGAAUACUAAACAUUAUCAAGAAAAAAGAAGCAUUGUUAUUUUAGUAACACAUUAAACAGCACAAUUAAUUUUGUUCACUUUUAUUAAUACAAAACAUCCUAACAGAAUGUUAACUUUUAAUAUAAGUAAGGUUACAAAUAAACUUUGUCACUAUCCAAUAAAUAACAUUCCCUUGACUAUUAAUUGGAUUAUUCUCUAUUAGAACAGUUAUUUUCUCCAGUUUAUUUUAAACUGCCUUAUGAUUUCAAUGAAACAUCUUAGCUUUUGCUUAUUGAAUAAUUUUUACAGUUGGAAAAUUUCUCAUGCCAAAAUAUUUGCAAAUUAAUAUAUUUCUCUAUGCCUUCUACUUAGUCGCCUUAAUGACAUCAAAUUUUCUGAAAUAUAAAUGUCCUAUAUUCUUCACAUACACAAUAGGAAUUGAUUUCAAAUGCCAGGAACCGAGAACACAAGACAGACAAUCAAUGCACUCAUAAAACAGAUCAAGCUUCAAUUGAUUCCAUCUUCUCCAAGGUGUGAAAACGUUAAACCUUCUCAGUUUUCCUUCAGCAGACCCCAUGGUCCCCAGUUAGAGAAAGAGAUGUAGGCUAGUAGUCCUGUUUCAACAGCAUUUACUCUGGGAAGACUGGAAGAAACAUCCUGCGACUUAUGAGGAAUUCCCCAAAUAAACCAAACAUCAUAUGCACGAGGGACACUUUACAGAACAACAGCAUUCUGAACACUGAAACAAGAAUAGUUUAGAGAAAGAAGAACUUUCAUCUGAGAAAUUUUCAUAUAGCCAUAAAUCAAGUAACCCAAGAAAGUAAUAUUUUUCUAAGGUAAAAGUAUCCAUGAAUUACAAGCUCUUUAACAGAAUUUCAUGUCAUAAAAAUUAUGUGGCACAUUUCUACUAUGAACCAUUGACUUUUUUUUAUUCUUUUAAGCACAUAGUAAUCUAAACUAAUACAUUACCCAGACCAUUUGAUUUAAAAUAAAACCAAAGGAAAUCAUUAAAAAGUCUGAUUACACAAGCAUUCUACUACAUAAAUCUGAGUUACUUCAGUGUAAAAACAAAUAAUUUCAAUGCAAUGAAGUCAACUCUGAUUAAUACAUACAUUUUCAUGCAUGUGAAAAAAUAAUUUACAUUCACUCAAGAAUAAGUUUCAUAGCAAACAAAUUACAGCACUUAUUUGAUAAAGGAAUAUUAAAAUAA